GCUCAGCGAGUACCUUGUAAAACCUAUCUUGUAAAGUUAGACAACGGACACAAACCUAUAAACAUUGCAACUCCUGAGGGUUCAAACAACCAAGACUUACAGGCAAUACUUGGAAAUCAACAACCUUUUGGAAAACUGAACAAUAAACCAG